rnacentral:rRNA from 1 species
AUUUAACGCUGGCGGCAGGCCUAACACAUGCAAGUCGAGCGAGCGGCGGACGGGUGAGUAAUGUCUGGGAAACUGCCUGAUGGAGGGGGAUAACUACUGGAAACGGUAACUAAUACCGCAUACCAUCAGAUUUGCCCAGAUGAGAUUAGCUAGUAGGUGGGGUAACGGCUCACCUAGGCGACGAUCCCUAGCUGGGCUGAGAGUGUGACCAGCCACACUGGAACUGAGACACGGCCCAGACUCCGACGGGAGGCAGCAGUGGGGAAUAUUGCACAAUGGGCGCAAGCCUGAUGCAGCCAUGCAGCGUGUAUGAAGAAGUCCUUCGGGUUGUAAAGUACUUGCAGCGGGGAGGCGUUACCCGCAGAAGAAGCACCGGCUAACUCCGUGCCAGCAGCCGCGGUAAUUC